UACGUAGGGUGCAAGCGUUGUCCGGAAUUAUUGGGCGUAAAGAGCUCGUAGGCGGUCUGUCGCGUCGGCUGUGAAAACCCGGAGCUCAACUCCGGGCCUGCAGUCGAUACGGGCAGACUGGAGUUCGGCAGGGGAGACUGGAAUUCCUGGUGUAGCGGUGAAAUGCGCAGAUAUCGGGAGGAACACCAGUAGCGAAGGCGGCACUCUGGGCCGGUACUGGACGCUGAGGAGCGAAAGCGUGGGAGCGAACAGG
rnacentral:rRNA from 1 species